rnacentral:lncRNA from 1 species
UAAAAGGUGAAUAUUGAGGGAAACUUUUGUUUCUUGAUCAGUAAUCACGAGUCAUUUCCUGCCCUAGAAAACGAAGAAGAUGCAGCAAACACAAUAUUACUGUCACCAUAUCUUUUCAACAUGUCUUCAGAAAGUCAUGGUACUGUCUCACUACCUUUGUCCUUUAUUUUACCAUGGCUUACUCCUGCAUCUCAUUUUGAUUUGAGCUUCUAUAAUUCAUUA